CCCCCAAUUUUUUGGAUUUGUGGACUUAACUCACCAAAACUUAUUACAACCUUGUCAAGGUUAUGGACUAAAGCGAACCAGUUAGUUUGUUCUCACUAAAGAUAAGAAUCAACUGGUGUCACGACCCAGAUUUCCCGCCAUCGGGAGUUGUGAUGGAGACUACUAAGAGGAGCUAGGCAAGCCAAAUAUCAAAUACUUCUUUAGCGAACAUCAACAAUGUUAACAACAUUUAACAAUAAAGCGGAAGUCUCAAAUAUAAUUUACUGAAAGAAAUGCGGAAGUUUAACAUAUCGUCUACCCAAAGACUGGUAUCACAUUACUCACGAACUUCUAGGAUUACUAAAUACAAUCGUUUGAAAGAAAUCAUAACAGUCUGUUUCAAUACAAGAGCUAACAAACUGAAUAAGGAUGGAAGAGACUCCGGGCCUCCGGACGUCAGCAAGGCUACCUAAAAGUCUCUAAACAGAAGGCCUGCUCCCGACCUACUACAGUUGCGGUCCGUAAGCUUCUCCCUGACCUGUGUACAAAUAUGCAAGACGUCAGCAAGGCUACCUCAAGAGUCCCUGGACUGAAGGUCUGCUCAUGAUCUAAUACUGCUGCGGUCCGAAAGCGGACAUCUGUCAGCGGCGGGAGUCUUACAUCCGAGUGAGAGGUCAGACCAACCCCAUUCCUCUGGUCUGAUCCGAACAGAUCUUGUUGAAUGAAUUGAUCCAUUGUUGUAUGCCCUACUUCUUAGUAAAUUUCUUCCUACUCGGACCCGCCGUACUUCCUUUGACUACUCCUGAGAUAUAGUGGAAACAUUUUGUUAUGGUGGAGAGUGGGGAGUGAAAAGACCAAUGCAGCAGAGAACGACUGCAUGAAUCGGAAUCCACUUAUUAAGACAGACGACCGAGAAAGAAAGG
rnacentral:lncRNA from 1 species